GGUCAAUCUAACCUAUGGAUGGGGAUAACCUCGGGAGACUGAGAAUAAUACCCAACAGAUCAUUAUGCCUGGAACGGUUUAUGGUUGAAAUGAAUUUCGCCAUAGGAUGAGACUGCGGCCUAUCAGCUUGUUGGUGAGGUAAUGGCCCACCAAGGCUAUAACAGGUACGGGCUCUGAGAGGAGAAGCCCGGAGAUGGGUACUGAGACACGGACCCAGGCCCUAUGGGGCGCAGCAGGCGAGAAAACUUUGCAAUGUGCGAAAGCACGACAAGGUUAAUCCGAGUGUUUUCUGCUAAAGAAAUCUUUUGUUAGUUCUAAUACCACUAGCGAAUAAGGGGUGGGCAAGUUCUGGUGUCAGCCGCCGCGGUAAAACCAGCACCUCAAGUGGUCAGGAGGAUUAUUGGGCCUAAAGCAUCCGUAGCCGGCUAUGUUAGUUUUCGGUUAAAUCCAUGUGCUCAACACAUGGGCUGUCGAGAAUACUGCAUAGCUAGGAAGUGGGAGAGGUAGACGGUACUCGGUAGGAAGGGGUAAAAUCCUUUGAUCUAUUGAUGACCACCAGUGGCGAAGGCGGUCUACCAGAACACGUUCGACGGUGAGGGAUGAAAGCUGGGGGAGCAAACCGGAUUAGGUACCCGGGUAGUCCCAGCUGUAAACUAUGCAAACUCAGUGAUGCAUUGGCUUGUGGCCAGUGCAGUGCCGCAGAGAAGUCGUUAAGUUUGCCGCCUGGGAAGUACGUACGCAAGUAUGAAACUUAAAGGAAUUGGCGGGGGAGCACCACAAGGGGUGAAGCCUGCGGUUC
rnacentral:rRNA from 1 species